AGCUUUGCACAGUGGCAGUAAUGUGGCCAAUGAGGUUUAUCUGAGGUGCGAUUAUCACUAAUUGAAAACUUUUCCCAAUACCCUGCCAUGAUGACUUGCAGUAUAGUUGGUAUUGGCAAUUUUUAUGGUCCCUACUGGGA